UGACCUCGGAUCAGGUAGGAAUACCCGCUGAACUUAAGCAUAUCAAUAAGCGGAGGAAAAAUUU
rnacentral:rRNA from 1 species